GACGAACGACGGCGGCGUGCUUAACACAUGAAAGUCGAACGGAGUGGCGAACGGGUGAGUAACACGUGGGUGAUCUGCCUUGCACUCUGGGAUAAGCCUGGGAAACUGGGUCUAAUACCGGAUAGUGCAAGAUGAGCUCGCGGCCUAUCAGCUUGGUGGUGGGGUAAUGGCCUACCAAGGCGUCGACGGGUAGCCGGCCGGAGAGGUUGUACGGCCAAAGUGGGGCUGAGAUACGGCCCAGACUCCUACGUGAGGCAGCAUUGGGGAAUAUUGCACACUGGGCGGAAGCCUGAUGCAGCGACCCGGCGUAGGGUAUGACGGCAGGCGGGUUGUAACCUCCUUGCGACAGGGACGCGGUGCCUGUAUACGAGAUUCCGGCUAACUACGGGCCAGCCGCCGCGGUAAUAC
rnacentral:rRNA from 1 species